rnacentral:tRNA from 2 species
UCCCCGGUAGCUCAGCGGUAGAGCGGCGCCCUGUUAAGGCGACGGUCGUAGGUUCGAUCCCUACCCGGGGAGCCA